GAUGAACGCUGGCGGCGUGCCUAAUACAUGCAAGUCGAGCGAACGGACGAGAAGCUUGCUUUUCUGAUGUUAGCGGCGGACGGGUGAGUAACACGUGGAUAACCUACCUAUAAGACUGGGAUAACUUCGGGAAACCGGAGCUAAUACCGGAUAAUAUUUUGAACCGCAUGGUUCAAAAGUGAAAGACGGUCUUGCUGUCACUUAUAGAUGGAUCCGCGCUGCAUUAGCUAGUUGGUAAGGUAACGGCUUACCAAGGCAACGAUGCAUAGCCGACCUGAGAGGGGGAGGGGCCACAGGGGAAGAGACACGCGGCCCAGACCCCGAGGGGAGGCAGCAGGGGGAAAUUUCCAGAAGAGGGCGAAGGCCGGAGGGACAAACGCGGCGUGAGGGAGAAAGUCUUUGGAAUCGAAAAACUGUUUUAUGGGGAAAAAACAGAUGGGAAAGAACUGGGCCACUUUUGGAGGGACCAAAAUAAAAAACCCAGGGCAACCUCGGGC
rnacentral:rRNA from 1 species